AGGAGCAAAGGCAUUGCAAACCAAGUUCUUCAUCUAAGCACGAGCAAGUCACCUUAAACUCAGAGCUUCAAGUAUGUUUGAAUUAAAAGCUUACUCAGGGGAAGGUCAGAUUGGACAUCGGUAAAAAGUUAUUCAAUGAAAGGGUGGUCAGGCACUGGAACAGGCUCCCCAGGGCACUGGUCAUGGCCCUAAACCACUGGAGUUCAAGAAGCAUCUGGAUAUUUCUCUCAGACACAGGGUUUGAUUUUUCAGUGGUCCUGUGUGGAGCCUGGAGUUGGACUCCUUAUGGGUACCUCCCAUCUUGAGAUUUUCUAUGAUUCUGUGAUUUUAUUCUUUGGAAUGCAUAUCACCAAUGGAAAUUAGGCCAUGAUCAUCCAUUCUGCUAAGUAUGCCCUGUACGGGAACUGUUGAUCACAGCCUGAACCUCUGAUUGAUCACCUGAGGCAAGCACUGAGUCAGCUGCAGGAGCACAGGUGAAGACAAUUCAGCUGUGUUAGUAGAAGGGGUGGAACCUGGCUGCACCUCAACUAGACCCCCCACUUAAGGGUUGACUAGCCCUGGGGCAGGUUCUUUUUCAGGAGAUUGCUGCUUUUGGGGUUUUUUAUGCAAGCCCAGGACACAAAUCUAUAUUUAACAGAAUGAAGGGCUAUUAUCAUUACAGCUACAGGAGGUGGACACUGUCUGAUUAGUAGGCGUUCUUAUCACAUGACAAUGAUGCCCGUGUGCCACUGGAUGCAGGAGAACUUAUUCCUGAGAACCUUCGCUAGAAGAUAUAGGAGGAUAUUUCUCUACACUGUCAAGAAGAGUUAGAAGUUCAAGGUUACCACUGGAGAAAUAAGUACAACCUGGAUUCACAUUUCAAAACAAGUACAGGGGAAAAUCUGCUGUUUCAAAAGAAUUAGUUUGGGCCUGUGAAACCUCUGAGCUGAUGCAAAUUAUUGCAAUAUCUGCCCUAAGCCAGUCCUGGUGAGCUCUAUGACGUAAUGUGCUCUUACAGACUUCUCUGGGUUUUUCAGAAGAUGCAAAGACAGACAAAGUGGACAGUUUGUACAUGGAUGCUUUUUUUCUGUGAUUUACUUUAUACCCUUUUGCUCAUGUUCAUGAUGCAGUUUUUCCUCAGCUAUCAAAGGAGCAAGGCUCUUCCUGGGAAUAUCCUCCUUACGUCAAACCAUCACAGCCUGAGCUCUGUUUUGAAGGCUCAAGUGCCAGUGUGUUUGGGCCAUGUGAUACGUGCAACUUCUCCAUGUGAAGUCAAGCAGGACAGGGAUGUCCAGGUGCAGGAGGGAGCACAUUGUGUACCCUGCUACAUGUGGAAACAAAGCAGUGUUGUGCCCCUCUUCAGCGCAGUACUCCAGAGCUGCAAAAUUAUCCAGAGCCGCAGGGCUUUAGAUGACUGACUUGCUGAAGGGAACGUGCUCGCAAAUGCAACAAGAGGUGCUGAUAUGACUUACUGCCAGGCUUCACACACUGAAAGGAUCCUAGCUGGAUUUACACACGCAGUGUGCAGCAUCCAGCAUUCAAAACAGUUGGUCAACAUUUGCCUUUGGAAAUGUUUUUCAUCACAAUUCUCUGCUGAUGUGUUCUUUCUGUCUAGAUGUCCCAGUUUAGGUCUGACAAACAAGCACAAUGGAUAUGCACUCCAGCUUCUUUUCAAUCUGUUUUUCUUCUGCUUUGAAUUUGAAUCAGGACAUGAACUGGAAUAGCAACUAUUAGGACAAUUUGGCAUUUUUAAGGGGAAAAUUUCCAAUGAAAUAAGCCACCUUAAUUUUAUUGACCGUGGUGGAGGUAAGCUAGUAGUCAUGGUUAAUGAUGAAUUUACCCACUGUAUCUUCAAAGUUAUAACUCCUUCAGAUCUGCCCUUGACUCUGUUGUUUCUGUUAUGCUAGAGAUCUGCCAGACUGCUCUGUACCUCGGUUUACCCUCCAGUAAAUCAAAUGCAAUGCCUCUCAGUGCUAUUAGGGUGCAGAAACAGCUUUGCGAACCACUGUAGAAACACAUUGUUUUUAUUGCCAUCUUACUGUAGCUUUAAUGAAGUAUUCUCUCUUGAAGGGCACUGGAGGGG